AUAAAUGAUGAUUCCCUUAUUCCUUUAACUCAUUUCAAUAUAGAAAGUUUUAAUUUUCUCAUUCAUGAUUCUUUCAUACUUCUUGAUUCAUCAAGAAGUUUUCUUUUCCAUGACUCCUACCAUUUUAAGAUGGUAUCAGAACAAUAAUUAUUGUUUUGAUGCUUCUGCUUAUGUUUCUAUCAUUCCUAGAUUCAAUAAUCAUCACCAUUAAAGGAGUUUUUGUGCCUAACUACUUGCCUUAAUUGUCUGCAACUUUCUAUCUAGUACCUUGUUCAAGGGGAAUGAGUGCAUCUUGUUCUAUGAUACAAUCUUUUUUUCUUCUUCUGACUUUGUGAGCUUUUGAUGCUUUAGACUUGCUCUUUCAUGAAUCUACACAAUGAAAGGUGAUUCUAUUUCUUCUUACCACCUUAAUUUGCGAUGUGACUUUCACUCCUCUUUUUCAUCUUUCACGGAAGAAGAAAGAUGAUAAUAAAAGAGAAUUGGGUGAAAUAAGUGGAUUGGGUUCUUCAGUUGCAAAGUGAUAGGGCCCAGAGCCGAGAGGAAGGCCCAAAUGGCAGCAUGUGACUCCGAGCUGGCAGAAGGAGUUUGUUAUGAAUUAACCUUUAAAAUAUUCCACUUUUUUGUUAAGCAAUGAUUACCUUUUGUUAGAUCCUGCCACUUGUAUGGUAGGGAUCCUUUACUAAUUCCUAUAUAAUUAUGUAAUGAACCAUUUUGGAGG
rnacentral:lncRNA from 1 species